rnacentral:rRNA from 1 species
UCUACUCAAUUGUUAAGAUGCAUUGCUUGUCUUGAUCCGAAGAAUUCUUUUGCCAAUUAUAAUGAAGACAAGCUUGUUGACCUUGCUAGUAUGUAUGUUGCUGACUUCUCUGCAUAUGAAGUUAGUUUUGUCCUUAGAAAUCAAUUGGACUCGUUCAUUCAUGAAGCAAGAGUUGAUCCACAUUUGAUGAAUUGUAAUGACCUUGGUCAUCUUGCCAUGAAGAUGGUUUUGAGUAAUAUGCACACAACAUUUCCGUUGGUUUACCGCCUUGUUGAGUUAGCAUUAAUAUUACCUAUUGCAACCGCAACGGUAGAAAGUGCCUUCUCAGCAAUGAGCAUUAUCAAGACCGACUUGAGGAACAGGAUGGGUGAUGAUUGGUUGAAUCACAUAAUGGUAUGUUACAUUGAGUGA